rnacentral:rRNA from 1 species
GCUUAACACAUGCAAGUCGAACGGAAAGGCCCUGCUUUUGUGGGGUGCUCGAGUGGCGAACGGGUGAGUAACACGUGAGUAACCUGCCCUUGACUUUGGGAUAACUUCAGGAAACUGGGGCUAAUACCGGAUAGGAGCUCCUGCUGCAUGGUGGGGGUUGGAAAGUUUCGGCGGUUGGGGAUGGACUCGCGGCUUAUCAGCUUGUUGGUGGGGUAGUGGCUUACCAAGGCUUUGACGGGUAGCCGGCCUGAGAGGGUGACCGGCCACAUUGGGACUGAGAUACGGCCCAGACUCCUACGGGAGGCAGCAGUGGGGAAUAUUGCACAAUGGGCGGAAGCCUGAUGCAGCAACGCCGCGUGCGGGAUGACGGCCUUCGGGUUGUAAACCGCUUUCGCCUGUGACGAAGCGUGAGUGACGGUAAUGGGUAAAGAAGCACCGGCUAACUACGUGCCAGCAGCCGCGGUGAUACGUAGGGUGCGAGCGUUGUCCGGAUUUAUUGGGCGUAAAGGGCUCGUAGGUGGUUGAUCGCGUCGGAAGUGUAAUCUUGGGGCUUAACCCUGAGCGUGCUUUCGAUACGGGUUGACUUGAGGAAGGUAGGGGAGAAUGGAAUUCCUGGUGGAGCGGUGGAAUGCGCAGAUAUCAGGAGGAACACCAGUGGCGAAGGCGGUUCUCUGGGCCUUUCCUGACGCUGAGGAGCGAAAGCGUGGGGAGCGAACGGGCUUAGAUACCCUGGUAGUCCACGCUGUAAACGGUGGGUACUAGGUGUGGGGUCCAUUCCACGGGUUCCGUGCCGUAGCUAACGCUUUAAGUACCCCGCCUGGGGAGUACGGCCGCAAGGCUAAAACUCAAAGGAAUUGACGGGGCCCCGCACAAGCGGCGGAGCAUGCGGAUUAAUUCGAUGCAACGCGUAGAACCUUACCUGGGUUUGACAUGGAUCGGGAGUGCUCAGAGAUGGGUGUGCCUCUUUUGGGGUCGGUUCACAGGUGGUGCAUGGCUGUCGUCAGCUCGUGUCGUGAGAUGUUGGGUUAAGUCCCGCAACGAGCGCAACCCUUGUUCACUGUUGCCAGCACGUUAUGGUGGGGACUCAGUGGAGACCGCCGGGGUCAACUCGGAGGAAGGUGGGGAUGACGUCAAGUCAUCAUGCCCCUUAUGUCCAGGGCUUCACGCAUGCUACAAUGGCUGGUACAGAGAGUGGCGAGCCUGUGAGGGUGAGCGAAUCUCGGAAAGCCGGUCUCAGUUCGGAUUGGGGUCUGCAACUCGACCUCAUGAAGUCGGAGUCGCUAGUAAUCGCAGAUCAGCAACGCUGCGGUGAAUACGUUCCCGGGGCUUGUACACACCGCCCGUCAAGUCAUGAAAGUUGGUAACACCCGAAGCCGGUGGCCUAACCGUUGUGGGGGAGCCGUCGAAGGUGGGACUGGUGAUUAGGACUAAAU